UAACGCGUGAGGAACCUGCCUUUCAGAGGGGGACAACAGUUGGAAACGACUGCUAAUACCGCAUGACGCAUUUUGAUCGCAUGGUCGAAAUGCCAAAGAUUUAUCGCUGAAAGAUGGCCUCGCGUCUGAUUAGAUAGUUGGCGGGGUAACGGCCCACCAAGUCGACGAUCAGUAGCCGGACUGAGAGGUUGACCGGCCACAUUGGGACUGAGAUACGGCCCAGACUCCUACGGGAGGCAGCAGUGGGGAAUAUUGGGCAAUGGGCGCAAGCCUGACCCAGCAACGCCGCGUGAAGGAAGAAGGCUUUCGGGUUGUAAACUUCUUUUAAGUGGGAAGAGCAGAAGACGGUACCACUUGAAUAAGCCACGGCUAACUACGUGCCAGCAGCCGCGGUAAUACGUAGGUGGCAAGCGUUGUCCGGAUUUACUGGGUGUAAAGGGCGUGCAGCCGGGCAUGCAAGUCAGAUGUGAAAUCUCAGGGCUUAACCCUGAAACUGCAUUUGAAACUGUAUGUCUUGAGUGCCGGAGAGGUAAUCGGAAUUCCUUGUGUAGCGGUGAAAUGCGUAGAUAUAAGGAAGAACACCAGUGGCGAAGGCGGAUUACUGGACGGUAACUGACGGUGAGGCGCGAAAGCGUGGGGAGCGAACAGGAUUAGAUACCCUGGUAGUCCACGCUGUAAACGAUGGAUACUAGGUGU
rnacentral:rRNA from 1 species